ACACGUAGGGGCCUGACGUUGUUCGGAAUCAUUGGGCGUAAAGGGCGCGCAGGCGGCCGUCCAAGUCCGGUGUUAAAUGGUCGGGCCCAACCCGGUCAUGCGCUGGAAACUGGGCGGCUUGAGUCCCGUAGGGGAUGCCGGAAUUCCAGGUGUAGGGGUGAAAUCUGUAGAUAUCUGGAAGAACACCGAUGGCGAAGGCAGGCAUCUGGCCGGAGACUGACGCUGAGGCGCGAAGGCGCGGGGAGCGAACAGGUUUAGAUACCCUGGUAGUCCGCGCAGUAAACGAUGCGCACCAGGUGUCGGGCGGCAGCGCCCGGUACCGGAGCUAACGCGAUGAGUGCGCCGCCUGGGGAGUAUGCCCGCAAGGGUGAAACUCAAAGGAAUUGACGGGG
rnacentral:rRNA from 1 species